UCGAGAAUCUUCGGCAAUGAGCGCAAGCUUGACCGAGCGACGCCGCGUGCGGGAUGAAGGCCCUCGGGUUGUAAACCGCUGUCGUAGGGGAGGAAAUCAAUCGGGGUUCUCCCCGGUAGUUGACCUAUCCUAGGAGGAAGUCCGGGCUAAGUUCGUGCCAGCAGCCGCGGUAAGACGAACCGGACGAACGUUAUUCGGAAUUACUGGGCUUAAAGGGUUCGUAGGCGGCCUUGUAAGUGAGAUGUGAAAUCCCUCGGCUCAACCGAGGAAGUGCAUUUCAUACUGCAAGGCUUGAGGGAGACAGAGGUAAGCGGAACUGAUGGUGGAGCGGUGAAAUGCGUUGAUAUCAUCAGGAACACCGGUGGCGAAAGCGGCUUACUGGGUCUCUUCUGACGCUGAGGAACGAAAGCUAGGGGAGCGAACGGGAUUAGAUACCCCCGUAGUCC
rnacentral:rRNA from 1 species